rnacentral:snRNA from 1 species
UUUCUCACUUCAGAAGCACAUCUAUUAAAAUGAACCACAAUAUGGAGAAGAUUAGCGUGGCACCUAUACAGUAAUAACAUACAAAUUGGUGAAGUGUUCCAUAUUUUU